rnacentral:piRNA from 1 species
UUGGACUGCCGCCUUGGUAUACAUUUCCAGG